rnacentral:rRNA from 1 species
CAGAGUUUGAUCAUGGCUCAGGAUGAACGCUAGCGGCAGGCCUAAUACAUGCAAGUCGAACGGUAACAGGGUAGCAAUACCGCUGACGAGUGGCGCACGGGUGCGUAACGCGUAUGCAAUCUACCUUCAACUAGUGAAUAGCUCGAAGAAAUUCGGAUUAAUACACCAUAGAAUUAUUGAUUGGCAUCAAUUAAUAAUUAAAGCUCAGGCGGUUGAAGAUGAGCAUGCGUGACAUUAGCUAGUUGGUGAGGUAACGGCUCACCAAGGCUACGAUGUCUAGGGGAUCUGAGAGGAUUAACCCCCACACUGGUACUGAGACACGGACCAGACUCCUACGGGAGGCAGCAGUAAGGAAUAUUGGACAAUGGUCGCAAGACUGAUCCAGCCAUGCCGCGUGCAGGAUGAAGGCCCUAUGGGUUGUAAACUGCUUUUGUACGAGAAAAAACCUCUUUACGUGUAAAGAGCUGAUUGUAUCGUAAGAAUAAGGAUCGGCUAACUCCGUGCCAGCAGCCGCGGUAUA